GAUGAACGCUGGCGGCGUGCCUAAUACAUGCAAGUCGAGCGAACGGACGAGAAGCUUGCUUCUCUGAUGUUAGCGGCGGACGGGUGAGUAACACGUGGAUAACCUACCUAUAAGACUGGGAUAACUUCGGGAAACCGGAGCUAAUACCGGAUAAUAUUUUGAACCGCAUGGUUCAAAAGUGAAAGACGGUCUUGCCGUCACUUAUAGAUGGAUCCGCGCUGCAUUGGCUAGUUGGUAAGGUAACGGCUUACCAAGGCAACGAUGCAUAGCCGACCUGAGAGAGUGAUCGGCCACACUGGAACUGAGACACGGUCCAGACUCCUACGGGAGGCAGCAGUAGGGAAUCUUCCGCAGUGGGCGAAAGCCUGACGGAGCAGCGCCGCGUGAGUGAUGAAGGUCUUCGGAUCGUAAAACUCUGUUAUUAGUGAAGAACAUAUGUGUAAGUAACUGUGCACAUCUUGACGGUACCUAAUCAGAAAGCCACGGCUAACUACGUG
rnacentral:rRNA from 1 species